UUCACCUGGGAGGUCUCCCCAUGGAUUUUGGGAGGUGUGACUUUAGCUGGGAGGUCUCUGCAUGGAUUUGGGGUCAUCUGGAGGAGAAGGAACCCUUGGAGAAACGGGAAACCUCGCCUCGGGAGCUGCAGGAAGAAUUUCACCACCUCUUGCAUGGGGCUGGAAGUGUCACCCCCCACCAAACCCUGCCGCCACCUGUGCCACCUUUGGGGACACCGAUGGGGCUCAGGUGAGGCAGAGGAGGCCCAGUGACACUGGGGACACCACAGAGGUGACCACCAUGGCCCAGCUGUGUCAGGAGCAGUGUUGGCACUGGGAAGGAGCAGGACACGGAGUUUUUGGGGUGUUUUUGGUGGUUUUGAGGAGUUUUUUGGUGGUUCCGAGGUGGUUUUGAGGUGUUUCUGAGAUGGUUUUGGUGGUUCUGCAGUGGUUUGGAGGUGGUUUUGGGUUGUUUGGAGGCGGUUUUGGUGGUCUUGGUUGGGUCUGAGGUGGUUUUGGUUCUUUCUGAGAUGGUUUUGAGGUGAUUUUGGUGGCGCUGAAGUGGCUUUGAGGUGGUUUUGGUGAUUUUGAGGUGGCUUUGGUGGUUUUGCUGGUUUUGAGGUGUUUUUGGUUGGUUUAAGGUGGUUUUGAUGGUUUUGAGGUGGUUUUGGUUGUUUUGAGGUGGUUUUGGUGCUUUUGACAUGAUUUUGAGGUGGUUUUGGUCGUUUUGAGGUGGUUUUGAGGUGGUUUUGGUGGUUUUGAGGUGGUUUUGAAGUGAUUUUGAGGUGGUUUUGGUCAUUUUGAGGUGGUUUUGAAGUGGUUUUGAGGUGGUUUUGGUCGUUUCGAGGCGUUUUUUGAGGUGGUUUUGGUCGUUUCGAGGCGUUUUUUGAGGUUCCCCCUGCCGUGGGGCGUGGCAGGGCCGCCCGGGGAGCGGGCAGGGACCUGUGCAGGUGUCACCUGGCCCAGGUGUCACCUGGGAGGAGCCAAUGAAGGGUCAGAGAUUCCAUCUGAGGCCACCUCUGGCAAUGAGAACCCAAAGGGUUCGGUGGGGACAGGAUUGGUGUCACCCCCGGCGGUGACAGCGAGGACAGGGAGGAUCCAGGCGGGAGCUGUGACAGGGCCACACCAACGGUGACACAACGAGGGACAGAACAACCCCUUUUGGGGUCCCUUUGGGGUGACAAACACCCCGGUGUCACACAGGGAUGGACAGGGGAGGUGGCACGGUCAGUGUGUCACCAUGUCCAGGCCACCACCCCAUCACUGGGGGGUCCCAUUGGUGGCCCCACAUCCACCCAUUCAUGGGGUUGGGACACAAAGAGGAUUUGGGGACCCCCUUGGAGGCUUCCUGGCCGGCACUGAACUCUCAAUAGACACGAAAGCCAUAUUUUGGGGGGCUCUGGAGAGGCCAGGGUGGGGGGCAGAGGCUGGGCUGUGUUGUUGUGCUGUGGUUUUUUUUUUGUUUUUUUUUUUCUGUCUGUACAUAUAAAAAUUAAAAAAAAAAAAAAGGGAGCCAACGACCGUCGAUGUGACUUUAUAACCUUUCUAAUAUCCUGUGCUAAUCUCGGAAAAUAAUCCUAUAAAUAUAUCUGGAUUACACACCUUA